AGUGAACGCUGGCGGUAGGCCUAACACAUGCAAGUCGAACGGCAGCACAGUAAGAGCUUGCUCUUACGGGUGGCGAGUGGCGGACGGGUGAGGAAUACAUCGGAAUCUACUAUUUCGUGGGGGAUAACGUAGGGAAACUUACGCUAAUACCGCAUACGACCUACGGGUGAAAGCAGGGGAUCUUCGGACCUUGCGCGAUUGAAUGAGCCGAUGUCGGAUUAGCUAGUUGGCGGGGUAAAGGCCCACCAAGGCGACGAUCCGCAGCUGGUCUGAGAGGAUGAUCAGCCACACUGGAACUGAGACACGGUCCAGACUCCUACGGGAGGCAGCAGUGGGGAAUAUUGGACAAUGGGCGCAAGCCUGAUCCAGCCAUACCGCGUGGGUGAAGAAGGCCUUCGGGUUGUAAAGCCCUUUUGUUGGGAAAGAAAAGCAGCAGGUUAAUACCCCGCUGUUCUGACGGUACCCAAAGAAUAAGCACCGGCUAACUUCGUG
rnacentral:rRNA from 1 species